rnacentral:lncRNA from 1 species
UUUUCCCAUACAAUUUCCUUUUUUUGCCAUUACAUAUAUUAUACCUGUAUAAUGCUUUUUGGGGUCAAUUCUCGAAACCAAACUAUAGGCUAUAUAUAACUAAGGAGAGGAUUUAUGCUAGCAAGAAUGACAAGGACAGUUGAUAGGAAAAGGUUCUUGAACAAUCACAAAGCAAAACACAACGAAGCUGAAGUCGGUGGUUGUUCAUGAUCACUUCUCUUGUGUAUAUUGCAUCCUCAAGGUGUUGUAUUGGUAUCUCACAUUGGUAAAGUUGUUGCAUAUUCUAGAAAUAAAAGGUAAUACUCUAAUAUUUCACAUCAGCGUCUGAAGAUUUAGUAGUGUUGACUUGUCAGAUAUGUUUUGGGACUAUAUAUGAUCAUCAAGAACAAAUCCGUAAGGAUGGUAAAGUCCAAAACAAAUAAUAUCUGACAGGUUGGGCCGAGCUGUGAUAAAUAAUUUUUUUUUUCUUUCAUUAAUUUGUUAGAGGUUGUCUUGAUUGUUUCUUUCUCAUGGUAACUAGACGAUAUCAACAAAGAAUUUGAUUUCAGUUUAUCUUUUCAAUAUGAUCCUUUUAGCCAUAUAUAUAAAUUGUUAUAGUAUGGUCCCUUUUAUCAUUAAUGAAAGCAGUAAACACAUUUUACUGUUUUUGAAUUAGCAUGUCUGAUGCUUUGAUAUCUAUUAUAUGUUUUCCCAUCCUCAACUUCAUAAUAUGCUUUUUCUAUUUUGAACCAGCAGGUAUUACAAGCUAGAGAGCCAAUCUAUGAUUAGAAGUUUUCAUAUAAGAGCUUCAAGCUGGAGCAAACUGGACCAGGUAAGUUGCCGCUCUUUUCCUGCAUAUCAUUCGUUCUAGCCAUGAAGUUUCUCAAAUAUAUUACUUCCAGCCAUGAAAUUGCUGAAAUAGGUUGUGGGGGUUAGUGUUAAAACUGAUAUAAGAGCUGGAUUCAAGCUGCGUUAUGUAAUUCUAACAAUUCUUCUUAUUUGUUUCAAACACGAUUACUGUCAAUGGAGAAUUUGGGACAGAAUAUACACUGCAUAUCAUUUUUUUCAGGAAGUCGGAAUGGUCGGAAAGCUAUGCUUUCUCUUCCCCUAUGCCUAUAUCAAAUCUAUCCUCUUUUUUUUUAAUUGAAAGAUUAUUCUGCUUGACUUGGUGCCUUUUGACUUCGGUUGUGUCCUAUUUUUCAUCUCACAUGCUGCUGGUGCUUGUUGACAGUGUUUUUUCCUGAAAAGUUUGGUUGUAGACCUCCUCAAGAGAAAUAAAUAAUUCAAUGAUUUGAUUAAAAAAAAAAAAUAUCAGCUACUUAAGAUGAACCACCACUAGCAGCAGGUGACAAUUUGAGAAUCUAAUUGAAUUGUGUGUUCUGACAAUGAUCCGAGAGUGGAUACCAAGCAAGGUCAUCAUGUCACUAGCUAGGCUAGCGCAUGCCAUGAAAGAGAGUUAGAGAUGAGAUCUCAAACCAAUCCAGUAAGGCAGAUGAGACAAGGUAGCUGAUCCAACAGAAUAGGUAGACAACUCUCACUCCCAAUCAUGGAAGAGAGAGUCAUCCUACUCGUCAUCUUUCUUUUAUGGGAGCUUGGUCUGUCUAAGAAACAAGCUAGACAAGAACCUCCAUGGCCUGGUAUGUCCUGGAUUCCAGAAUCCUAGCACCAAGAAGCUUCCAUCUGCCAAGACUCACUGCACAUAACUUGUUAACAUGCCUCACCUACUUACAGCCUUCCUUCACUUGCUUCUAAAUUCCUGGAUUGAGAGUUAGCAAUCUACCUAUCCAAUUGAGAGUGCAUGUUGGGUGACAAAAGGAGACAAAGGCAGAUUCUUAACACAUGUUUGUUACGCCCUGAAAAUGAUAACAUUAUUCAACCUAAACAAAUAUGUUUUAAUUAGAUUCAAUUUGUGAGGAACAUGAAAACAAACAAACACGUUUUGAUGCUCGCAACAAGAGGUAAACAUUACUUAUCUCGACUACAAAAAAUACAGAAACUCGAUCCUUGUAUCAAAAGUGCCAUCCCGCUGUGUAACUCGGCAACAACACUAGUAUCUAUCUAAUGUUAUUG